CCAUCAACGUCCUCGGGCCCAACUUUAUUCGUGCGAAUGGCCUGUCAUCCUGACGAAUUGCCGAGUGGACUGCUGCACACACCUGGAGCCGCCUCCUCUUGCGCCUCUGAAACCUGUCCCGAGCCCGCUGUGCUCUGACUGCUCUCGUUCGGAUACUCUCCGCGACUUCGUCCCCCAUUAUCCGAUUCCUAGCCUGCUCGUACUGACGCUGCCUUUCCUUUAUCGGCUUGCGCUCGGACCAUCUAGCUUCGGGGGUAUCUAAUUUAACGUUGGAGGACCUAUCUAUUGGCUGCUUCGCGGCGACGUGGAACUCGACUCCUCCAAUUGCGUCGUGCUCCUUUUCGAGUUUCCCGGUCGACAUUUAGGGCAUUUUGGGAGGAUGACCCCGGCCAGCCCGCACUUGUAGCAGAACAGGUUACGCACGGCCGACUCACACUCAAAAUAGGUGUGACCCGGCUGAGCGCAAUUCCAGCACCUCAGCUGGGCGCAAUUCCAGCACCUCAGCUGGGCGCGAUCGCCCCCGGGUUCCCUCGUCCUAUGGACAGCAUCCAAUGCCUCGGUCUGUUCCUCUGGGUCGUGAGUGUUCGCAUCCAAUUCAUGCACUUUGUGAUCUUCCCUGCGCCAACUCCCCCCAAGGUCUGGACCGCUCCUUGUCCAUCGCGUCGCCAGCAGUUUCUCGGCGUCCGCACACUCUUCUUGCAGCUUCUGUAGGUUUGGUAUCUGCAUUGGAUAAAUCACCCUCGAAAUGGCAUCCCUAAUAUUGAUCUUUAUGAUCUUUAUUAGAUCAUAAUCUGAGAACGGAUUCAGCAACCUCGACCUCAACACCAACAUCUCCUGGAUGUACUGGUCUGCCGACUCCCCGUGGCGUUGUCGGCGUUCCCUGAGCUCUUGCUCUCGCUCGAACUCUGUCCGACGAACUUGAAGUUGCUGCUGGAGACCAUAUCUCAGAUUCGGCCAGUCCGGCAUUCCUACCGUCCGAACAUGCAUCCAGUACCAAUCCAAUCCAGUGGCCACUGACCAAUGUGUGAAAGGCUUUCAACACCUCCGCCCACAGUACCUGAUACGACGUCUGUAGGUGCUCCACCCGGAAUAUGAAUUCCGCCACGGGCAUCCCCUUUGGAUCGCCUUCGAAGCUGAGUCCCCAUCUUCGUAUUUGCACUUGCUCCUGCCUAGCCUCUCCGAAACUUGGUCGAUUCCGGUUAGGGUUUGCUUCUGCGCCCAUCCCGUUGAACAGCCACUCCUCCACGGGUCUCUGAUCGGCUUGGGUCCUCUGAUCGGCCUCCAAUGUUCGGUUGUCCACGAACAAGUGCGUUGGAUGUGCUCGCUGGUUCGCGGGUGCUUCCUGUUGACCUCCCAGACUGGUUGCAUUCGAUCCCCGAUUCCUUCAAUUCGCAUCACUCGCCGUUCGCUCCGCUUUUAACGAACCCACCACAGCGUUGAUCUCUCGCAUGAACUCUAGCAUGUCCGCUUUCAUUGACGAUCUCAGCGCUUCCAUUUGCUGCCCGAGCGACGCUCGGUAGGUCUCCUGUGCUUGGGCUAACGCUGCGUUCACGGCUGAGCUUAACUCGGACGGUAACACCAGGUCCUUACGGGUUCGCUGUUGACCUCCUACCGCUCCGGCCUCUGGGUCCUCCUGGUACAACCCCGCAUGUACGUUUUCCGCCACUUGCGACGGCCCUUCCGGCCUACUGCCGGCUUUACCGUCCUGGGACCGAGUCGUCGGCAUGUUGUACGGCUGGUACCUGCGCUGUGCCUCUGGGCUACGCCUUGUCUUUCCCGACCCUUUAAAAAUCUCCGGGUCACUCAUCAACCAAUUUUCGUAACGUACUCCUUUCCUUUGUCUAUUCUCUAUUUACUUAACUAUCUUGGUGAUAAAUAAAUUGGAUUGUUUAUUA